rnacentral:rRNA from 1 species
UACGUAGGGGGCAAGCGUUGUCCGGAAUUAUUGGGCGUAAAGGGCUCGUAGGCGGUCUGUCGCGUCGGGAGUGAAAACUCGGGGCUUAACUCCGAGCCUGCUUCUGAUACGGGCAGACUAGAGGUAUGCAGGGGAGAAUGGAAUUCCUGGUGUAGCGGUGAAAUGCGCAGAUAUCAGGAGGAACACCGGUGGCGAAGGCGGUUCUCUGGGCAUGACCUGACGCUGAGGAGCGAAAGUGUGGGGAGCGAACAGG